rnacentral:lncRNA from 1 species
CGGCACCAUUGUCAUCGCCCACGUCCUCCGACCCGAGCUCCGCCCGCCUCGGCCUCUCUGCACCGGCCGUCGUCCGCCACCUGCAAUGGUGGAAGAUUGGACUGACAAUGGUGGAAGAUUACCAUCUGUAAUGGUGUCACCGAGCAUGCGUUCAUGUUUUUGGAUGUUUUUGUUUCAGUUUAUGGGUAAACGUUUCCUGGGUUUUCAGCUUUGCAAUACUAGGAUAAUGGGCUCUUGCCAUAAAAUGCUGAUCCUUAAGCCUCUUGACAAUAAAAUCUUGGGUCCGGUGCCUGCAAAGGCGGGCCCACAUCACAGUGCAGAUCGAGAUCGAACCGAGACGAAGAGGCUGAUUGAUGGCUGGCUUGUGAGGUUGCCCAAAGGAAAGGAAUUAAGAUGAUGGAGGUGGAGGAGCAGCAGAUCAACAAGACGAUGAACCUGACCCCGAGCUCAAGGAUGGAUUUCACCUACCCAAAUCAUGGUACCACUUCACUUUUUAUUUGUUCUUAUCUGUAUCAAAUUUAUAACACGGACCACAAUACUAUAAUCCUUCUGUACAAACAUCCUUUCAGGCUACCUUGCAUGUUUUCAUAAUACCAAUUGUCAAACUUGUGCCGAAAAAUCAUUCAAUGACACUGCGCACUUCUGUAGAGUCAAACACUGAAGUUAUUCUGUGUAGCUUACUCUUUUUUUUUUUUGGUAAAGCAUAUCAAGUAAGAAUAUUAAAAAGACCAGGAACUGCACUUUUGCAUGGCCAAGUGUCAAUGAAAAGAUGCACCCUAAUGUACUGAUUUAACUUUUUUUUUUCUUAUCUGUACCAAACACGGGCUGCUUUUCAGCGACAAUACUACAACCCUUCUGUACAAACAUAAAGUUUCUUAAAUUCCCUGGAGGCUACAUUGCAUAUUUGCAUAAUACCAAUUGUCAACCAUGUGCCAAAAAAAUCAUUCAAUAAUUUCUGGUUAAGGCAUUUUAACCUCUGUACAUGCCAUGCCAGUCAUUACAUGAAAGAAUUUAUAUAACAAAAAAAGAAAGAUGGCCACCAGCUAACUGCACUUUUGCAAUCUCAAAGUGGUACAUCCCAACGUACAACAUGGGGAAGAAUCAUCAUACACCUCGCUAAACCUAUAAUCUACUUCAAAGGUAUUAAUGUUGGUGAUCUGCUUUCAUUUUUACUAUUGGCUAAAUUUUGGCAGAAAGCAUCUCAUGUUGGUUCCAUUUUGUAAUUGAUGCAGUGCCACCAUGCCAUCUAGG